AGGCAAUAAAAAAUUUUAAAAUUUUUUGUCCCAACGUUUCGCCGGUUAAGGCUUCUUAUCCUGAAGAAGCCUUAACCGGCAAAACGUUGGAACAAAAAAUUUUUAAAUUUUUU